rnacentral:lncRNA from 1 species
UGCCCAGUAGAUGAAUUUGAUAAAUAGGGAGUUAACUCUCACUUAUCUCACUGAAACCCUAGGCAGUUUUCUUAGUCACUUUCAUCCUUAGCUUUCUCUUUGGUAAAGCUAGGAUGGUUCUGCUGAAAUCACUUCAUGAGAGGUUUGUGGUCAGAGGGUUGUGGAGCACAUACUUUGACAUGGUCUCUGUAAUAUAAAAUUCUGUCACAGUAAGAAUAAAAGUGGUGAGUAUGAAAGUGAAUUAAUUUGCUACAUAUGCUAUAGAUUUUGCCUUUUUAAAAGGCUUAUUAAAUUAACUAAAAAUGUAAGACUAAAUUCAGAAGGUAGUUACUAUGAUUUACCAUGGGUGAACAGGUGAAUAGAUUGCUUCUUGUACUAUUUAAAAGAUUUCUUCAGAUUUUACAAGGUCAAACCUUGACAUGUAGAAUAGGGACAGGGAGAUGAGGGGAUAGAUAUGAUGCAGGAGUUCCUAAACCUGACUGAAUCAGAGUUGCCUGGAUUGGGGGAUGUUGUUUGCUCAGGAUAUAAUUUCCAAGGCCCACUCCAAAUAUAAAUUAGAAUAUCAGCAUCAGCAUUUUAAAUGUGUUCCCUAGGUUUGUUUGAUGUAGUAGCCUGAGGAUAGCAUUUGGGAGCCAUUGGU